UUUCAGUUCACUAAAGAUGGGAGUUUGGACGGAAAUAGUACUACUUGCCCGAUCUGUUUGUGCGAGUUCAAGGAUUUCGAGAUGCUAAGAAUGAUGCCGGAGUGCAGACAUUAUUUUCACUUGUGUUGUAUCGAUGCUUGGCUGAAACUUAAUGGGUCUUGUCCGGUAUGUCGGAACUCACCGCUUCCGACUCCGCUGUCUACGCCAUUGUCGGAGGUGGUGCCACUGUCGCAGUACGCUGCUGAUCGAAGGAGGAGGAGGUGAUUUGAUCUUGUUUGGUUGUUUUUGGAGUGGUGGUGAGUGAUUUGGGGGUCUUUUAUCGUGUGUUUUGGGAUUGAAAUUGUAAAUUUUGUUAAUUUCUGAAUAGGCAUAGGUAGUGGGAUUUUGGAUUUUUUUUUUUUUUUUUUUUUU
rnacentral:misc_RNA from 1 species